UUCAUGAUGGCCGAGUUGGUCUAAGGUGCCAAUUUCAGGUAUUGGUCCAAAAGUUCAUGAGUUCAAAUCCCAUUCUUGGCA
rnacentral:tRNA from 1 species